CUUAGCAGUGGCCAUAUACUACUUUGUCAACACAGCUUAUUAUAAAUCCUUCGCUAUAUAUACUUUUUUUGUUCGGAUUUGGGAAUUUUACCGUAUGGCGUACUGGCAGAGUUUUGGUGAAUCUAGCAAAGACGAUCUCGAUGAAUUAUAUGCGACAUGGCCAACUUACGUAAUUGCAGGAUUCUACAUGAUGUUUACUAACCUUCUGCUUUUCAACUUAAUCAUAGCAAAGUUUACUUAUACAUUCGGAAGAGUCCAAAACAAUUCAGAAGAGCUCUGGAUGUUUGAGCGCUAUACGGUGAUAAUGGAAUACAAA